AGGACAGACGGACAGCACCCCGGCUGCUCAGAGGGCUGAGGACCCAGCAAACCCCUCGGAGCAGGAGCCCAGCUGAGGGGGCGGGACCACACGCGACGGGCGCGCGGUCCGAUUGGCCGAGCGCCACAGAACCUGCUCGGUCCUUUGAUUGGUGUGAACGGCGACGCGCCCUCUCGAAUGCCUCGCUCGGAUUGGCCAGUUUCUCGGCCCAGACCUGGACGGUGGCCAGAGGAGGACAAGAGGCUUCUGUGCGGGAUGAAGGGACGACUCGGGAGGACGUCUGAGCUGCACGUCUACCUGCGGCUGGGAUCCAGGGGCCUGGCGGCCACCUCUGUGAUGUCGGUGCUGCUGGUGGCGCCUGAGCGGACCGGCGGCAGCGUGUCCCGAGCCCGAGAUCCAAAAGAUAACUCUCGCUCUUGAAUACUGUCUGGGAACAACUUGUCAUGCCUGCUCUGUGGAAUUGGUGUUCAAAAAUGAAAUGCAAAAUGCAGACUGGCCCAGCACAUACUGGUUACUGGUACUCCGGGGAGAACAGGAGACGUUAAAUAGAGGAUAUCUUUGUUGUGCUGCUUUCUGCCUGAUGCCAGUCGAUCUGUUACAAGUCAUCAGUUCAUGAGAUCCAUUUCAAAUUCUGGUGAAGAAGGAAGAAUUGACCCUUGAAAGGUUCAACAUUUUAUAAUAAUUUUGAAAGAGGGAAGCCCGUCCGCAGGACAGUGGCCCCAGUGUGCUCCUCCCUGAUGCCAGCAGGCCCCAGAGCUGACAUUGAGGCAUUCGCUCCCCCACAGUCUUGCCUCUGCUCCUGUGGUUUGGCACAGUCGCAUCCUUCCUCCAUUCCGGGGCUUGGCCGCUGGAUGAAGCCACACGGGGUACACCUGGAGCGGGAAGGUGCAGGGAGCCGAGGACACAGAGGCACUCACCACAAUCCAUUCUCAGAACCCACUGCCUUCCUUUCUCUCCUCUGCACAGGGCAGGGGCCUGCUGCACCCAUCAUCUCCAUCACAUACAGGGCCUCUCUAUGUGCCCAUCUAACCUCAGCAGGGCCCCCGCACAGACAGGGGCAGCCUCUGAGAGGCAGGUCCUGGAGGCUGGGACCCUCCUUGGUCCAGUAGAGCUGUGCUGUGGAUGGGGCAGCCUCGCUGGGGGAGGGGUGGGGAGAGAGUACUGGGGUGGAGUGAGGUGGCACAGGUCUCCCUUCAGGCUGCCAAUGCCCAGACAGCCCCAGUGGCAGUGGUCUGGGCCCACUCCCUGACAGUGGUUCUGCUAGCAUUUCUCUCCCCGUUGAAGUGUGCAGGAGGCAGCCAAUCAA